rnacentral:rRNA from 1 species
GACGAACGCUGGCGGCGUGCUUAACACAUGCAAGUCGAACGAUGAAGCCUAGCUUGCUAGGUGGAUUAGUGGCGAACGGGUGAGUAAUACGUGAGUAACCUACCUUUAACUCUGGGAUAAGCCUGGGAAACUGGGUCUAAUACCGGAUACGACCAAUCUCCGCAUGGGGUGUUGGUGGAAAGCGUUAUGUAGUGGUUAUAGAUGGGCUCACGGCCUAUCAGCUUGUUGGUGAGGUAACGGCUCACCAAGGCGACGACGGGUAGCCGGCCUGAGAGGGUGACCGGCCACACUGGGACUGAGACACGGCCCAGACUCCUACGGGAGGCAGCAGUGGGGAAUAUUGCACAAUGGGCGCAAGCCUGAUGCAGCGACGCCGCGUGAGGGAUGACGGCCUUCGGGUUGUAAACCUCUGUUAGCAGGGAAGAAGAGAAAUUGACGGUACCUGCAGAGAAAGCGCCGGCUAACUACGUGCCAGCAGCCGCGGUAAUACGUAGGGCGCGAGCGUUGUCCGGAAUUAUUGGGCGUAAAGAGCUUGUAGGCGGUUUGUCGCGUCUGCUGUGAAGGCCGGGGCUUAACCCCGUGUAUUGCAGUGGGUACGGGCAGACUAGAGUGCAGUAGGGGAGACUGGAAUUCCUGGUGUAGCGGUGGAAUGCGCAGAUAUCAGGAGGAACACCGAUGGCGAAGGCAGGUCUCUGGGCUGUAACUGACGCUGAGAAGCGAAAGCAUGGGGAGCGAACAGGAUUAGAUACCCUGGUAGUCCAUGCCGUAAACGUUGGGCACUAGGUGUGGGGGACAUUCCACGUUUUCCGCGCCGUAGCUAACGCAUUAAGUGCCCCGCCUGGGGAGUACGGCCGCAAGGCUAAAACUCAAAGAAAUUGACGGGGGCCCGCACAAGCGGCGGAGCAUGCGGAUUAAUUCGAUGCAACGCGAAGAACCUUACCAAGGCUUGACAUAUACUGGACCGCAUCAGAGAUGGUGUUUCCCUUCGGGGCUGGUAUACAGGUGGUGCGUGGUUGUCGUCAGCUCGUGUCGUGAGAUGUUGGGUUAAGUCCCGCAACGAGCGCAACCCUCGUUCUAUGUUGCCAGCACGUUAUGGUGGGGACUCAUAGGAGACUGCCGGGGUCAACUCGGAGGAAGGUGGGGAUGACGUCAAAUCAUCAUGCCCCUUAUGUCUUGGGCUUCACGCAUGCUACAAUGGCCGGUACAGAGGGUUGCGAUACUGUGAGGUGGAGCUAAUCCCUAAAAGCCGGUCUCAGUUCGGAUUGGGGUCUGCAACUCGACCCCAUGAAGUCGGAGUCGCUAGUAAUCGCAGAUCAGCAACGCUGCGGUGAAUACGUUCCCGGGCCU